AAUGAACGCUGGCGGCGUGCUUAACACAUGCAAGUCGAACGAGAAAGUUUUCUUCGGAAAGCGAGUACAGUGGCAGACGGGUGAGUAUCGCGUGGGCGACCUACCUUCAAGUGGGGGAUAACUGGCCGAAAGGACAGCUAAUACCGCAUAACAUUCCUGUGACUAAAGAGUGGGAAUCAAAGCUGGGGAUCUUCGGACCUGGUGCUAGAAGAGGGGCUUGCGUCUGAUUAGCUAGUUGGUGGGGUAAUGGCCUACCAAGGCGACGAUCAGUAGCCGACCUGAGAGGGUGAUCGGCCACACUGGAACUGAGACACGGUCCAG
rnacentral:rRNA from 1 species